GUAUUAGGCAAAUCCGGUACUCGUUAAGGCUGAGCUGUGAUGGGGAGAAGACAUUGUGUCUUCGAGUCGUUGAUUUCACACUGCCGAGAAAAGCCUCUAGAUAGAAAAUAGGUGCCCGUACCGCAAACCGACACAGGUAGUCAAGAUGAGAAUUCUAAGGUGAGCGAGCGAACUCUCGUUAAGGAACUCGGCAAAAUGACCCCGUAACUUCGGGAGAAGGGGUGCUCUUUAGGGUUAACGCCCAGAAGAGCCGCAGUGAAUAGGCCCAAGCGACUGUUUAUCAAAAACACAGGUCUCUGCUAAACCGUAAGGUGAUGUAUAGGGGCUGACGCCUGCCCGGUGCUGGAAGGUUAAGAGGAGUGGUUAGCUUCUGCGAAGCUACGAAUCGAAGCCCCAGUAAACGGCGGCCGUAACUAUAACGGUCCUAAGGUAGCGAAAUUCCUUGUCGGGUAAGUUCCGACCCGCACGAAAGGCGUAACGAUUUGGGCACUGUCUCAACGAGAGACUCGGUGAAAUCAUAGUACCUGUGAAGAUGCAGGUUACCCGCGACAGGACGGAAAGACCCCGUGGAGCUUUACUGUAGCCUGAUAUUGAAAUUCGGCACAGCUUGUACAGGAUAGGUA
rnacentral:rRNA from 1 species